rnacentral:tRNA from 1 species
GAGGGUAUAGCUCAGUGGUAGAGCGUGUGCUUAGCAUGGAUGAGGUCCUUGGGUUCAAUCCUCAUUACCUCCC